GUCCCCAUCGUCUAGCCAGGUCCAGGACACAGGCCUUUCACGCCUGCGACAGGGGUUCGAAUCCCCUUGGGGACG
rnacentral:tRNA from 1 species